rnacentral:rRNA from 1 species
UACGUAGGUGGCGAGCGUUGUCCGGAUUUACUGGGCGUAAAGGGCGCGCAGGCUGUUAUGCGAGUCUGCUGUGAAAUGUACCGGCUCAACCGGUGCCUUGCGGCGGAUACUGCAUAGCUGGAGUACUGGAGAGGGAAGUGGAAUUCCAGGUGUAGCGGUGAAAUGCGUAGAUAUCGGGAGGAACACCGGUGGCGAAGGCGGCUUUCUGGCCAGUUACUGACGCUCAUGCGCGAAAGCUGGGGUAGCGAACCGGAUUAGAUA